CAGGGUCUGGAGGGACAGGAGAUUCUGUGUCUAUAUAAUCUUCAGGGCUAAAAUCAAGAAGCCGGGAGCAAUAAAUGAAUGAAAGAUAGGCUAUACUAUAUACUGCCCUAUGACGUCAGGCUUGCCCAUGUGACUUGAUCUAGAUGAUGGAAUCUCCUGUGAAAUGCAACAAGUUUCACCUGCAUAUCACAUUCCCAUUGCCUCACCUCCAAUUCUUUGAGGUAGUUAACUGUUGUUUCUUGUCUCAUUAAUAUGACUAAGUCAUGGGGAUGCUUCAAGUUCAUUGGUGAAUCCA